rnacentral:rRNA from 1 species
ACUCAUGGCGGACGGGUGAGUAACGCGUAAAGAACUUGCCCUUUAGACUGGGAUAACAGAGGGAAACUUCUGAUAAUACUGGAUAAGUUAGUAUAUCGCAUGAUAUACAAAUGAAAGCUACGGCACUAAAGGAGAGCUUUGCGUCCUAUUAGCUAGUUGGUAAGGUAAGAGCUUACCAAGGCGAUGAUAGGUAGCCGGCCUGAGAGGGUGGACGGCCACAAGGGGACUGAGAUACGGCCCUUACUCCUACGGGAGGCAGCAGGA